CGAGGUCAUGAACAGGGAGAGGGAUGGAUCUCCAUCUGACAAAAUGUAGGUGGCCACUCGCUAGCCACCCAGGGGUGGGAGGGCAAGAUUAGGACCAACCUUAUUCAAAGCUAGGUCCUUUGAUGCCCUUUUCCUUGCUUGUUGUCCUUCUGUUUUCCUCUCCAAUAACCUCAGAGAUCCUCCCUCUGGCUUCUCAACUUACCCUCUGGCUCUCCCACCUGGGCUUAUUUUUUUAUCUGUGUAGUUCCGCUUUCACAGCUUUUACACCAGCAUCAGGUUGGUUUGUCUCCCUCUCUCUAUCUCCACUCUUAGCAUCCUGGUUCUGAUAGAUAUUCUCUUUCAGUUGUUGCAGGAGCCUCUUAACUGCUCUGCCUAAAAAUUUUCCUCCAGCUCAUUUCUGCUUCACUUUGGAGCCAGAAUAAUUUUCCCGAGGUGCCUCCGUGGGAGCUCAGGAAGCUCCCGUAGGUGGUAUUCUCUGGGUUUAGGGUUCAGCAUAGAGAGAGGCUAAAGCUGCAUAGAGGGAGUAGCAUUUACACAGUUCUUAUGCUUUAACCUGUAGCAGCCUCAUUACAUCAAGGAAACACCCUGCAGUUCUUUCAGACCCAACAGUCAUUUACCUCCAGGCAUGCUGGCAAAAUCAGGUAUCUUACAUGGUUGCAUUUGGAAGACCUGUUCUGCCAUUUAUAUCUAACACCUUUGUCCUAUUACUUUUCCGUAAUAUUUCACUUACUCUGCUGUGUUUGGUUAAGAGGAAUAACUAAUGCGUAAUGGUGGUCAGUAUCGUGCUCAGUUCAGCAAAUCUCUUUGGUGAGUUGGAAUUUCCUCUUGAGGACAGGAAGUUGUCAUUGGAACUGUCAAUCGAAGGCAGUGUAUUAGCGUAGACAGCAUCCUGAAAACAGUACACCUAGCACAGGUACCAUCUGCUAAUUAGCUGACCGUUGUUGCUCCUUAACCCGUUUUGUGACCGUCUACUCUAGUGGAGUCCGUUUUCCUCCAUUUAUAAUCAAAGAUUAGACAUGACCACAGCUGAGACUAAAGCUGUUAAGCUGAAUUACUGUAUGUGAUGGUAAGGUGUUAGAGAAGAUAAAAGUAUGCUGCAGCUGUAAAGUCAGUGUCAGUUUAGAAUUGGUUCUAAACUAUAAAUUAUCUCCCUUUUCUGUGGUGGUGAUAAGACGAGGAUGAGGCAUAUAAUUUAAUUGCACUGGCAUGUUUGAGAUAAACGUCCCUUGUUUUCUUUAACCUUCCGUAUUUUUUGCUCUGUUUCUUCAGUAAUAUCGUAGUUAUAAAUAUGUGUAAUUCAUAUAUUGUUGAUGUGUUUCCUUCAGUAAGUUGCUGUCAGAUAGAAUUUUAAAAGAUAGUUGCGUUUGGGUAUAAAUUAAUUAGGAAUCAUUUUCCAUGUUUUCAUAAAUACACUUGUAUGUGUUCAUACAUCCACUUAUUUUUAAAAGUGUACUUUUUUCUGCCAUGUGUUUUUUGUAUUCAAAGGUUUAUCUUCUUCUUAGUGAAACUGUUUCAGGAUUUGGUGAUGUAGAAUGGUGGAAAAAUGUUUCAUUUAACAUCAUUGUGUUCUAGAGUCAGGGCUAUUGGAAUAUGUCAUAUUUCAUUAAGGGAGAGAUGCUUGAGAAAACGAGAGUCUAUAAACUAGAUAAAAGUAACAGUGUCUGUUAACUUCAUUAUCUUAUCACUAUCACCUUUGGAGUUACUUAGUGGUGCCUCAUCAAGAUAGGAUCAAUUUACUUUCUUGUCUGCUGUUUUAGACUUCCCUUAACCAAUAUCUAAGAAAUCACAACUUGCUAGUUUAAAUUAUAAGGUAUUUUCUGGAUCUGAGCCAAAUUCAGGUUUUAGCAUUUGGUAUAAUUUUUAAACAUCUGUUCUUUGAAUAAGUAAGUCUUUAAAAGGUAAAAAUAUUGUUAAUGGAAUUCAUACAUUGCUGUGGGUGUGGUAAAUGGUGUGAUUUUUUUUCUGGGGGACAACAUAGGAAUAUGUAUUAAGAGCCUAGUAAUUAAGAGCCUGAAGUGUUACUUUUGACCUACUAAUUCCACUCUGAGGAUCUUAAAGAUUUAACCAAAGAUACUCAUUCUGUAUAAUAUCUAAUGGGUAAAAAUUUGGUGAAUUAUUAUGUCCAACAAAAAUUAGUUAUGGUGUAUCCAUAUAGAAGAAUAACCGUUAUAAGGUUUAUUUCUUAAGGCUCUUUAAUAAGGGAAUAUCGUGAUAUAAAAGUUAAAAAGGCAUGAAGAACUCUGCAAGAAGUUGAGCUCUACUCUGUCAAAAAAAAGCUAGCAGUUAAAAGCAUGAGUCAGACUUGUAUAUAUAGACCUAGAAAGAUCAUUAAGCCACAUAAAAUGCAAAAAAACAAGGUAUGGAAUAUUACACACACAUGCCCAGAUAAGUUAGAUAUUUUUGAAAAUACACUAAAUGAGCCAUAUUUAUAUUUGUGUGAAAGUGUAAAUAGGCAUAGAAAAAAAAUCUGUCGCAGGUUCGAUCCCUGGCCUGGCACAGUAAGUUAAGGAUCUGGCGUUGCCACAGCUGGGGCUUGGAUUUGAUCCCUGGUGAAGGAACUUACAUGCCGCUGGUGUAGCAGAAAAAAGAAAAAAAGAGAAAAAAAGCUCUGAAACUUAAGAUUCUAUUUUGCAAGGAAAAAAAUUUUGCUAAAAUAUAACCACUGGUUAUCUCUGGAAGGGAGGAGUUCAGAUAGUUUGUUUUUUGUUUUUGUUUUGUCAUUUUAGGGCCACACCCCUAACAUAUGAAGGUUCCUGGGCUAGGGGUUGAAUUGGAGCUGGAGCCACUAGCCUACACCACAGCCACAGCAACGAGGGAUCCAAGCCGCAUCUGUGACCUACACCACAGCUCAUGGCAAUGCUGGAUCCUUAACCCACUGAGCAAGGCCAGGGAUCGAACCUGCGUCCUCUUGGAUACUAGUCAGAUUCCUUUCCCCUGAGCCACGAGGGGAACUCCCUCAAGUAGUUCUUAAUUUUCUUUGUAUUUUUCUGUAUUUGCCAGAAUUUGAGGAAUGAACAGUUAUUAUUUUCUAAUAAGAAAAAGGAGUAAGAUUUUUAAAAAAGCUGACAUCACAAAAUAGUGUGGCCUGGAGUAAAGAAUGCUUGGAUUCAGAUACUGGCUCUACCAUUCUAGAGCCUUGUGACCUUGGGGCGGGGGCAGGGGGAGCUGCUUUACUUUUCGCAUAGGAUUCUUUUGAAGAUUAAAUUAGGUAUGACAUAUGUAGGCUAGUUUUUAUAAUGUCUGUAAUGCAUUUGGUGCUUAAUAAACAUUAAUUUCCUUCCUUCUUGUUUUUCUCAUUAAUGACUAUUAUAAUAAACUCUUCCAAACAGAUAGAAAAUACCAUAAAACUAAUAAGAAAAACACAAUUAAAUACUUAGACAGUUGAACACUUGUGGCGUGGUAGUUUCAGAACUAAUUCUGCUACAGGAUAGAAAGUGAGAAUAUUCAUUAGAGCAAAACAAAGAGGUGAGGUAUUUCACUUCUGUUGAUAGGAAGAGGCAGCUAUAAAUCCUCAGUGUUGUUAGUCAGCAAUAACAUUGUGUCCUAAGUAGAGCUUAAAACAUUCUCCACAGGUUCAAUCAGAAUAGUUUUUUGAAGCUGUGUUGUAGAUAAUUUGCUGCUUUUAAUUCAUCAUGGCUGUCAAUAUCAAGAAAUAAAAGUAGUCAGGACUUGAGAAUAAUAAAUCUCAUAUUAGUAAAUCAACAUGUAAAAUGAGAUGCCUUCAUUAAUUUCAGAGGUUAUAUUUCAGUGACAUAAGCUAGUUAGGCAAAAUAGGCACCGACAUAAAAUUCUCAAAGGAUUUAACAGUUGUAUUCUUCUUACAUGCUUGUUAGAUGUACAAUAGAAAACGUAUUUGCUUUCCCCUGUUUUGCCAAGGAAGUGGCACAGACUUAAAGAGGAAGAUUAAUUGAGAUGGGCCAGUGCAGUGGCAAAGUAGGAUCUCAUCCUAGAUACACUGGACUUCUGAAGCACCAACAUUGCUGUCUCUGGUAUUGCUGCAUCUGAUGUCUUCAUAAAAGGAAACAAUUUUUUUUUCUUCUUUUAUGGCUGCACUUGUGGCAUAUGGAUGUUCCUGAACUAGGGGUCAAUUUGGAGCUGCAGUUGCAGGCCUACGCCACAGCCACAGCAACACCAGAUCCCAGCUGCAUUUGCAACCUACUCUUGCAGCUUUUAACAAUGCCGGAUCCUUAACCCACUGAUCGAGGUGAGGGAUUAAAACCUCAUCCUCACGGGUAUUAUGUUGGUUUCUUAACCCACUCAGCCACAGCAGAAACCCCAAGAAAUAGUUUUUACAGACACUAAUUCAAAAAGAUAUAUGCACCCCCGUGUUCAUAACAGCGUUCUGUUUAAUAGCCGAGAUAUAGAAGCAACCCAAGUGUCCAUCAAUAGGUGAAUGGCGAGUUUCUGCUGUGGUGCAGUGGGUUAAGAGUCCAGCUGUAGUCACUUGGGUUGCUGUGGAGAUUCAGAUUCGACCCCUGGCCCGGCACAGUUGGUUAAAAAGAUCGGGCAUUGCUGCAGCUGUGGCAUGGGUCACAGCUAUGACUUGGAUUCAGUUCCUGGCCUAGGAACUUCCAUAUGCCGUGGGUGUGGCCAUAAAAAACAACAACAAAAAAACCCCCCAAAUGAAUGGACAAAGAGAAGCUGUACUGUAUGCAGUGGAUAUAUACAGCCUAUAUAUAUGCCAUGGAAUACUACCCAGCCAUAAAAAAGAAUGAAAUGAUGCUGUUUGCAACAACCGGGAUGGACCUAGAGAAUAUUACACUCAGUGAAAUAUAUCAGACAGAGAAAGACACAUACUAUAUGUUACCACUUAUAUGUGAAAUCUGAAAAAGAAAACAAAGGUAUAUAACAAAACAGAAAGUGGAGUUCCCGUCGUGGCUCAGUGGUUAAUGAAUCUGACCAGGAACCAUGAGGUUUCGGGUUCGAUCCCUGGCCUUGCUCAGUGGGUUAAGGAUCCAGCGUUUCCGUGAGCUGUGGUGCGGGUCACAGAAGCGGCUCGGAUCCCGAAUUGCUGUGGCUUUGGUGUAGGCUGGUGGCUACAGCUCUGAUUAGACGCCUAGCCUGGGAACCUCCAUAUGCCGUGGGAGUGGCCCAAGAAGUGGCAGAAAGACAGGAAACAAACAAACAAAAA
rnacentral:lncRNA from 1 species